rnacentral:lncRNA from 1 species
GUCGCCAACCAAAUUUAAACUUGAUCUGUGUUUUGAUGUGAGCCAAUGCUCUGUGUUUAAGGACGUACCUUGACCUAUAAUGGUUUACUUUUAUAAAUUGUUACAUGGAUGGAGAGUUGUCUCACUGGCACUCAUACCACAUCUUCCUAUAUCUAUUUGUAGUAUUCGGCAUUGUGUACUUGUUUUCUAAAUUCAAGCUAAGCUUAAGUUAUGAGAAUGGAGACCAAUUUUGGAAUGAACGUACAGCAGGGCAUAAAUAAUAUUCAAAAUAAUCCUACUUUAUACACCAAUCUCCAUGUGUAUUAUCUAGAAUUCUUCACAAUUUUGUUUUCAUAUUAUUUUUUUUUGGUAUUUUAUUUUAUUUAUUUUUUUUUUAUUUAUUUUUUUAC